ACCAACCGAUUAAUUCGGGCACGAGUCUCUCUCCCGUUAGGAGAAGCUUCAGAGGAGAGGUUGAGAGUGAGAGAGAGAAAAGUGUCGCCAAAGUCAUCUUCUUCUUCUGAUCUCUCUCUUCAGGCUGAAGCGGAGGAGGGCGGAACAUUACCAGAAGUUGGGGUAGCAAAUUAGCAAUGGAAUGGUGGGAUAAGAUGAUGUUUCCCAUGCGAACAGUCUGGAACGGCGUUGCUAAGCGUUUUGGAAUUCGAAAAACUGGCCUACUGAAGCUGCGAAAUGACGUGAGGACUUGUGAGUAUAGGGAUGUGCAUGUGAUGUGGGAGAUGUUAAAUGGAACUGAAACAGAGCUCAGUCGGUCCCCUGAGAGAUCCACUGGGAAUAGCAAAAAGAGAACAUAUUGGAAAAUAAUUGAGUGGGCCAAGCGUGCUCCAUAUCUUUGCCGCAGUUUUUGAUCAUGUUAUGAAUGGUGCUUGUGAGCUUGUUGAGCUUAUGAACUUGGUCAGCUUUAUCUCAGAUGUAUGGAUGUGAAUCCUGUGGAAUAAAAGAGAAGAGAAGGGGAUGGGGGCCUGGUAUGCAAUAGUGUCUGUUUUCCCUGUUCAUCCAACCAUGUAUAGAGGUCAGCUUUCCCCCUCCCAGUGGAUAUUGUUCCGUCUCUUCCUUCUCUUCACGCUGUCUCCUAUGUAAUAAAUGAUGGGUAUCUAGAAAAUGGGUUCUGAGUUUUCUCUAUCAGACCUUGUUUCUUCAUCCAAAUGCCUUCUUUAUUCU